CCUACGGGAGGCAGCAGUGGGGAAUAUUGCACAAUGGGGGAAACGCUGAUGCAGCAACGCCGCGUGAGUGAUGACGGCCUUCGGGGUGUAAAGCUCUGUCUUCAGGGACGAUAAUGACGGUACCUGAGGAGGAAGCCACGUCUAACGACGUGGCAGGAGCCGCGGUAAUACGUCGGUGGCGAGCGUUGUCCGGAUUUACUGGGCGUAAAGGGAGCGUAGGCGGACUUUUAAGUGAGAUGUGAAAUACUCGGGCUCAACUUGAGUGCUGCAUUUCAAACUGUAAGUCUAGAGUGCAGGAGAGGAGAAGGGAAUUCGUAGUGUAGCGGUGAAAUGCGUAGAGAUUAGGCAGAACACC
rnacentral:rRNA from 1 species